rnacentral:rRNA from 1 species
CCUACGGGGGGCUGCAGUGGGGAAUUUUGGACAAUGGGGGCAACCCUGAUCCAGCCAUGCCGCGUGCGGGAAGAAGGCCUUCGGGUUGUAAACCGCUUUUGUCGGGGAAGAAAUCCUCUGGGCUACUACCUCGGGGGCAUGACGGUACCCGGAGAAUAAGCACCGGCUAACUACGUGCCAGCAGCCGCGGUAAUACGUAGGGUGCAAGCGUUGCUCGGAAUUACCGCACGCGAAGCUGGAAGAGGGGGUCGAAAUCCCCGGGCUCAACCUGGGAACUGCAUUUGUGACUGCAAGGCUGGAGUGCGGCAGAGGGGGAUGGAAUUCCGCGUGUAGCAGUGAAAUGCGUAGAUAUGCGGAGGAACACCGAUGGCGAAGGCAAUCCCCUGGGCCUGCACUGACGCUCAUGCACGAAAGCGUGGGGAGCAAACAGGAUUAGAUACCCGGGUAGUC